rnacentral:rRNA from 1 species
GAANGUGGCAAGCGUUGUUCGGAUUCACUGGGCGUACAGGGUGUGUAGGCGGUUUGGUAAGCCUUCUGUUAAAGCUUCGGGCCCAACCCGGAAAGCGCAGAGGGUACUGCCAGGCUAGAGGGCGGGAGAGGAGCGCGGAAUUCCCGGUGUAGCGGUGAAAUGCGUAGAGAUCGGGAGGAAGGCCGGUGGCGAAGGCGGCGCUCUGGAACGUACCUGACGCUGAGACACGAAAGCAUGGGGAGCAAACAGGAUUAGAUACCCUGGUAGUCCACGCCCUAAACUAUGGAUACUAAGUGUCGGCGGGUUACCGCCGGUGCCGCAGCUAACGCAUUAAGUAUCCCGCCUGGGAAGUACGGCCGCAAGGUUG